rnacentral:rRNA from 1 species
GACGAACGCUGGCGGCGUGCUUAACACAUGCAAGUCGAACGGAAAGGCCCUGCUUUUGUGGGGUGCUCGAGUGGCGAACGGGUGAGUAACACGUGAGUAACCUGCCCUUGACUUUGGGAUAACUUCAGGAAACUGGGGCUAAUACCGGAUAGGAGCUCCUGCUGCAUGGUGGGGGUUGGAAAGUUUCGGCGGUUGGGGAUGGACUCGCGGCUUAUCAGCUUGUUGGUGGGGUAGUGGCUUACCAAGGCUUUGACGGGUAGCCGGCCUGAGAGGGUGACCGGCCACAUUGGGACUGAGAUACGGCCCAGACUCCUACGGGAGGCAGCAGUGGGGAAUAUUGCACAAUGGGCGGAAGCCUGAUGCAGCAACGCCGCGUGCGGGAUGACGGCCUUCGGGUUGUAAACCGCUUUCGCCUGUGACGAAGCGCGAGUGACGGUAAUGGGCAAAGAAGCACCGGCUAACUACGUG